UACGUAGGGGGCAAGCGUUGUCCGGAGUUACUGGGCGUAAAGCGCACGCAGGCGGUCUGCUAAGUUUGGAGUGACAGUUGGUGGCUUAACUGCCAAAGUGCUUCGAAAACUGACAGACUUGAGGGCUUCAGAGGGACACGGAAUUCCGGGUGGGAGUGGAUGAAUGCGUAGAGCGAGAUCCGGACGGAAAGCACCAAAGGGCGAAGGCAGUCGUGCCUGGGGAGUACCUGACGCGUCAGGUGACCGGGAAAGCCAGGGGAAGGCGAAACACGGG
rnacentral:rRNA from 1 species